AGCAGAUGAUGGCUUUUCCUCAUGAUGGGCUGCGGAUGCCGCUGUGGGCAGCGGCAGGAAUGCCAACGGCUCAGCGGAUGCCAAGAA